rnacentral:tRNA from 1 species
GCAUGAAGCUCAAUGAUAAAGCACUUGCCUAGCAUGUGUGAGGCCCUGGGUUCAAUCCCCAGCACCGCA